GUCGCCUUCGCGUGGCAUCUUAGGGCUAUUAGACACAUCUUCGGGCAUUUCAGAAUGCACAAAAACAGUAAAUAGGUAGCAAUGAAAAGGUUAAGAGUAAGACUCAUACAGCAAGCCGCCACUCUACUUAGUUUUUGUUGUCUCUCUCAUUCAUUUCCACUCUUCAAUCUCCACUCUGUCACAAUGACAGAGAGGGCGUGUGUGACAGUGCUGUGAUGUCCAGCCUCCCAUUGUAUUGAACCAACACGUGCUACUUACACAGGAAGUGGUGAAGACACAUAUGAUACAGGCCCAGGUGUGAUGGCUGCCAUGGUAGUCAAAGCGGCACUGUCAGAUGGAUAGCUUGAAGCACAGAUCUGUUCGACUAUAUUCCCAUAACCCAUCAUGCCAUUUUGGACCCGUUCAUGAGCAGGAUUAAUUUUCACAUUUCAAGUAUCUAAUUAAA